ensembl:Y_RNA Y_RNA Y RNA
GGCUGGUCCAAAAGUAGUGAAUUAUUUCAAUCAAUUGUUCACAGCCAGUUACAGAUGAAACCCUUUGUUCUUCUCUUUCCCUCCUUCUUAAUACUGCACUUGACUAGCCAAAA